UGUAUGUAUGCAUGCGUACGUGCGUGCAAUCUGACAGCUACACGGCACGGCAGCAUUCAGCCCAUGGUAACACAGGAAUGCUCUAUGUUUUAUGAAGACGCACUGACAGUCACCACGAGUAUAAGUCGACUGGUAACAUGGUGUCUCUACCGUAUGUGACGGCGUACUCAUUCAAUAAACACGAGCAUAUACGCAGCAGCGCCACUCAUCGCCUGUAUGGAACACGCACGGAUGAUGUCGUUCUACAGACUUUUAUAUAAUACACUAGACCGCGUACUGCUGCUUAUCAGACGGACCAAUCAACUCGAGCUUCUUUCGAGCUGCUGAGGCUUCGUCGCUCCUGUCGCUGUAUCCGCGCGGCGUCAUAAGAGUCUGCAUACUCUUUACAAUGGGAACCGAUUUUCUAAGCCUACUAUAUGGCCCUGGAAUCGCCGAUUAGGACUUUUCAGACCAUUACAGCGGAUGCUAGAAUGCACACCGUUUGACGCCUGCGACGUCGAAGCCGCUGAAGGCGGCGUCCAUAUCUAUAUUUAUAUACAUGUUUUUUUAACCAAAAAAAUAUUUUUAUAUUGUAUUUUUGGUAAAACUCCUGUUUAGGGGAGCCUGCUCCAAUGACCUUGACCUUGACAUAUGUUGUCAAGGUUACCCUCCUGAGUAAUGUAAAAAAGAUUUUAACCGUCG
rnacentral:lncRNA from 1 species